UUCCUCAGCCAGCCUUGCUUCAGAUGUGAGUGUGCGAUUCCCAGAGCCAACCAGGGUGUGUAAGAAAACGCCCCAACUCCUGCCACAAGCCGCCCCUCCCACGCCCCUCUGCUCAGCCCAGCCCUGCACACCUGUGCCCAGGACAGCCGUGCUCAGCGAGGGGCCCUGCGCCCGCCCCUGAGCCGCGACCAUGGGCCUGCUCGCCUACCUGAAGACCCAGUUCGUGGUGCACCUGCUCAUCGGCUUCGUCUUCGUGGUGAGCGGCCUGAUCAUCAACUUCACGCAGCUGUGCACGCUGGCGCUCUGGCCCGUCAGCAAGCGGCUGUACCGCCGCGUCAACUGCCGUCUGGCCUACUCGCUCUGGAGCCAGCUGGUGAUGCUGCUGGAGUGGUGGUCCUGCACCGAGUGCACGCUCUUCACCGACCGCGACACCGUGAGCCACUUCGGCAAGGAGCACGUGGUCAUCAUCCUCAACCACAACUUCGAGAUCGACUUCCUGUGCGGGUGGACCAUGUGUGAGCGCUUCGGAGUGCUGGGCUCCAAAGUGCUGGCCAAGAAGGAGCUGCUGUACGUGCCGCUCAUCGGCUGGACGUGGUACUUCCUGGAGAUCGUGUUCUGCAAGCGGAAGUGGAGGAGGACCGCGACACGGUCAUGGAGGGCCUGAAGCGCCUGGCCGACUACCCCGAGUACAUGUGGGUUCUCCUGUACUGCGAAGGGACGCGCUUCACGGAGACCAAGCACCGGGUCAGCAUGGAGGUGGCCCGCCUCCAAGGGGCUGCCCCCGCUCAAGCACCACCUGCUGCCGCGGACCAAGGGCUUCACCACCCGCCGUCCAGUGCCUGCGGGGCACAGUUGCAGCCAUCUACGACGUGACCCUGAACUUCCGAGGGGAACAAGACCCCGUCGCCUGCUGGGCAUCCUCUACGGGAAGAAGUACAUGGCCGACAUGUGCGUGAGGUGAGCAGGGCGGGAGGCC